ensembl:lncRNA
UGGGCCAGGAAGAUACCCUGGAGGAGAUCAUGGCAACCCACUCCAGUAUUCUUGCCUGGAGAAUCCCCAUGGACAGAGGAGCCUGGAAGGCUAUAGUCCAUAGGGUCAUAGAGAGUUGGACAUGACCAAAGUGACUUAGCACGCAUGCAGGUUUGGUGAGCUCCAUCCCUUUCCCAGACCCCUCAUCUUCCUGCCCAAAUCUGUGCAGUUGUCUUCUUGGCCAGCUCUCUUGACAUUAUGGGGACCUCUCUUCAUCUCAUCUUUAUACUCAAUGGUCCAGUUCAGAGAUGGAGGCAGGAGGAGGAACUCAAUUACUAUUUGUUUUCUCUACAUCAAGCGAGAUGGCAUUUGAUGAUAAGUGUGAAAUACACUGAGCCUUCGAAAUGCCAGUGCAUGUGGAGUUCUGUCUCUGCAGCUCUUAACUGUGCCUCUAGACAUCUUUCCUGACUGUUGUUCACCUGGAAGGUGUCCUUGCCAAAUGGGACUACAUUUGCUUUCUACACCUUCUUCCUCUGCCAAACAAGGACGCAGCUGCAAUCAAUAACAGACUGCUUCCAACUUCUGAUGCGAUGCAGGCUUCCAGAUGACAAGGGGCUUCAAAACCAAGCACCAUGAAGAAUAUUUAGAGCCCUUUAGUGGAGGAGAAAGCCUGUGUGCUGCUCAACAAUCAGAGACCUCCUAUCUCUUCCAACUCUUUCUCUGGCUGCAUUCCAGGAUCAUGGCUACACCUGGAGCCAAGGGCAGCUGGGAGAAGCGGCAGAGAACCGCAAACAGGAGCCUAUGCCAUCAGUGGGAUGCUUAGAAAAAUCACCUUGACUGCUGCUUCAGAGGAUCCUAUCCCUUUUUUAUCAAAGUGGGAGACAAUGAAUGUAGCUGAUAUUAAGAAGAACUUUCAAUUGAACACCAGGAGUUGAGAUGGAAGCUCCUGGAAGGCAGGAGCUGGGGGAGAAAGGGAGAAACCUUGUCAUUCACUCAAAUGGCCAAUAUCAGUUCUGUUUUGUAGAACAUCCAUCAUAAAAAGCUUCACAGAAAAGGUUUUUCUUCUCUGUCUCCAAUCU